UACGGAAGGCAGCAGUGGGGAAUAUUGCACAAUGGGCGAAAGCCUGAUGCAGCUAUGCCGCGUGUAUGAAGAAGGCCUUAGGGUUGUAAAGUACUUUCAUCGGGGAGGAAAAAACAAAACUAAUAAUUUUAUUUCUUGACGUUACCCGAAAAAGAAGCACCGGCUAACUCCGUGCCAGCAGCCGCGGUAAUACGGAGGGUGCUAGCGUUAAUCAGAAUUACUGGGCGUAAAGAGCACGUAGGUGGUUUUUUAAGUCAGAUGUGAAAUCCCUGGGCUUAACCUAGGAACUGCAUUUUGAAACUGAAAUACUAGAGUAUCGUAGAGGGAGGUAGAAUUCUAGGUGUAGCGGUGAAAAUGCGUAGAUAUCUGGAGGAAUACCUGUGGCGAAAAGCGGCCUCCUAAACGAAUACUGACACUGAGGUGCGAAAAGCGUGGGGAGCAAAACAGGGAUUAGAUACC
rnacentral:rRNA from 1 species